GAUGAAGAACGUAGCGAAAUGCGAUAAGUAAUGUGAAUUGCAGAAUUCAGUGAAUCAUCGAAUCUUUGAACGCACAUUGCGCCCGCUAGUAUUCUGGCGGGCAUGCCUGUCCGAGCGUCGUUUCAACCCUCAAGCCCCCGGGCUUGGUGUUGGGGAUCGGCGAGCCUCCGCGCCCGCCGUCCCCUAAAUCUAGUGGCGGUCUCGCUGUAGCUUCCUCUGCGUAGUAGCACACCUCGCACUGGGAAACAGCGCGGCCACGCCGUUAAACCCCCAACUUCUGAACGUUUGACCUCGGAUCAGGUAGGAAUACCCGCUGAACUUAAGCAUAUCAAUAAGCGGAGGA
rnacentral:misc_RNA from 1 species